rnacentral:rRNA from 1 species
UUUCACUGAAACAAGGGAAAACUUAGCAGCAGUAAAGAAUUUUGUGCAAUAUACGAAAGUGGGACAUGGGCAGAACGAAGGAACCUGUCAAAUUAAGUGCCAGCAGACGCGGUGAAACUUAAAGGUUUGUUUUUUUUUUAAGCAAAAAGUGUGUGAAGGGAAAUAAUUUUAAGUAAAUAGAAUUUUUUUAGUAAUGGUUAAAUGUUAAAAGAAAAAAAAGAAUUUUUAAUGUGAAGACGAUUUAUUUUUUUCUUAGACACGAAGGCUAUGGUAAUAAACAGGAUUAGAUACCCUGGUAGUCUAUGCAGUAAACAGAAAUCGCUUGAGUAGUACGGUCGCAAGACUAAAAUUCAAAAAACUUGGCUGUUCAUUGUUAAUUAGAGGAGCGUGUUGCUUAAUUCGAUAGUCCGCGAGUUACCUUACCUAAACUGGAGCUUUUACAGGUGUUGCAUGGCCGUCGUCAAUUUAUGUUUGAGACAAAUCGGUUUAACCCUACAAAGGUUGAAGUCAGGUCUUAUUGCCUUUAUGUUUAGGGGUUAAAUGCGCUACAUUUUUUUAUUCAAAUUAAAAUAAAAGUUCGGAUGGGUCUUUGAAAAAAGAACCUCAAGUUGAAUUUAAUAGUAAUUGAAAAGUAGAGCGUUUCAAUGAAUUAAAGGCAAUGUUAGUACAAAUUGCCCGUCGCCUCUGCUAAGGUGUUCAAAGCAGAGUAAGUCGUAACA